rnacentral:rRNA from 1 species
CGAACGGGUGAGUAACGCGUGAGCAACCUUCCUAUGACAGUGGGAUAGCCUCGGGAAACCGGGAUUAAUACCGCAUAAAAUCGUAGAAACACAUGUUUUAACGGUCAAAGAUUUAUCGGUCAUAGAUGGGCUCGCGUCUGAUUAGCUAGUUGGUGAGAUAACAGCCCACCAAGGCGACGAUCAGUAGCCGGUCUGAGAGGAUGAACGGCCACAUUGGAACUGAGACACGGUCCAA